UGAGUCGGCCGGGCGGCCGCGGCCCGAACGGGCCGAGGAACGUCCGGGCUCCGAAGGGCAGGGUGGUGGGUAACGCCCACCCGGGGUGACCCGCGGGACAGUGCCACAGAAAACAGACCGCCGGCCGCGGCCGGUAAGGGUGAAACGGUGGUGUAAGAGACCACCAGGGGCCCGGGUGACCGGGUCCGCUCGGUAAACCCCACCCGGAGCAAGAUCAGACAGGGGACGUUCGAGGGCGGCCCGCCCGAGUCCCCGGGUGGAUCGCGACAGGUGCGCGGCAACGCGCAUCGUAGAUGGAUGGCCGCCACCGGCGACAGCCGGUACAGAACCCGGCGUACAGGCCGGCUCGCCAC
rnacentral:RNase_P_RNA from 1 species